rnacentral:rRNA from 1 species
CUGCCCUUGGGUCCGGCAUAACCCCGGGAAACUGGGGAUAAUUCCGGAUAACGCACAUAUGCUGGAAUGCUUUAUGCGUAAAAUGGAUUCGUCUGCCCAAGGAUGGGUCUGCGGCCUAUCAGGUAGUAGUGGGUGUAAUGUACCUACUAGCCAACAACGGGUACGGGUUGUGAGAGCAAGAGCCCGGAGAUGGAUUCUGAGACAUGAAUCCAGGCCCUACGGGGCGCAGCAGGCGCGAAAACUUUACAAUGCGGGAAACCGUGAUAAGGGGACACCGAGUGCCAGCAUCAUAUGCUGGCUGUCCAGGUGUGUAAAAUACACCUGUCAGCAAGGGCCGGGCAAGACCGGUGCCAGCCGCCGCGGUAACACCGGCGGCCCGAGUGGUGAUCGUGAUUAUUGGGUCUAAAGGGUCCGUAGCCGGUUUGGUCAGUCCUCCGGGAAAUCUGACGGCUCAACCGUUAGGCUUUCGGGGGAUACUGCCAGGCUUGGAACCGGGAGAGGUAAGAGGUACUACAGGGGUAGGAGUGAAAUCUUGUAAUCCCUGUGAGACCACCUGUGGCGAAGGCGUCUUAUCAGAACGGGUUCGACGGUGAGGGACGAAAGCUGGGGGCACGAACCGGAUUAGAUACCCGGGUAGUCCCAGCCGUAAACGAUGCUCGCUAGGUGUCAGGCAUGGCGCGACCGUGUCUGGUGCCGCAGGGAAGCCGUGAAGCGAGCCACCUGGGAAGUACGCCGCAAGGU